UACGUAGGGGACGAGCGUUGUCCGGAAUUACUGGGCGUAAAGCGCGUGUAGGCGGAUGGGCAAGUCUGCUGUGAAAGCUCCUGGCUUAACCGGGAGUGGUCGGUGGAAACUGCCCGUCUGGAGGACGGUAGAGGUAGGUAGAAUUCCCGGUGUAGUGGUGAAAUGCGUAGAGAUCGGGAGGAAUACCUGUGGCGAAGGCGGCCUACUGGGCCGGACCUGACGCUGAGACGCGAAGGCGUGGGGAGCGAACGGG
rnacentral:rRNA from 1 species